CAGCAGCCGCGGUAAUACGUAAGGGGCGAGCGUUGUUCGGGAUCAUUGGGCGUAAAGGGUGAGUAGGCGGAUAUGCAAGUCUAUGUGUAAAAUACCACAGCUCAACUGUGGAACUAUGCUGGAAACUGCAUGACUAGAGUCUGAUAGGGGAAGUUAGAAUUCCUGGUGUAAGGGUGGAAUCUGUUGAUAUCAGGAAGAAUACCAGAGGCGAAGGCGAACUUCUAGGUCAAGACUGACGCUGAGUCACGAAAGCGUAGGGAG
rnacentral:rRNA from 1 species